AGCGAACGCUGGCGGCAGGCCUAACACAUGCAAGUCGAACGAAGUCUUCGGACUUAGUGGCGGACGGGUGAGUAACACGUGGGAACGUGCCUUUAGGUUCGGAAUAGCUCAGGGAAACUUGUGCUAAUACCGAAUGUGCCCUUCGGGGGAAAGAUUUAUCGCCUUUAGAGCGGCCCGCGUCUGAUUAGCUAGUUGGUGAGGUAAAGGCUCACCAAGGCUACGAUCAGUAGCUGGUCUGAGAGGAUGACCAGCCACAUUGGGACCGAGACACGGCCCAAACUCCUACGGGAGGCAGCAGUGGGGAAUCUUGCGCAAUGGGCGAAAGCCUGACGCAGCCAUGCCGCGUGGAUGAUGAAGGUCUUAGGAUUGUAAAAUCCUUUCACCGGUGAAGAUAAUGACUGUAGCCGGAGAAGAAGCCCCGGCUAACUUCGUGCCAGCCGCCGCAGUAAGAC
rnacentral:rRNA from 1 species